rnacentral:rRNA from 1 species
UACGUAGGGGGGCAAGCGUUGUCCGGAAUCAUUGGGCGUAAAGAGCGUGUAGGCGGCUCGAUAAGUCUGCUGUGAAAGUCCAGGGCUCAACCCUGGAAGGCCGGUGGAAACUGUCGGGCUAGAGUCCGGAAGAGGCGAGUGGAAUUCCCGGUGUAGCGGUGAAAAUGCGCAGAUAUCGGGGAGGAACACCAAUGGCGAAGGCAGCUCGCUGGGACGGUACUGACGCUGAGACGCGAAA